rnacentral:snRNA from 1 species
GCGACGUUGCUUUUUGAU